rnacentral:rRNA from 1 species
CGACCGGCGCACGGGUGAGUAACACGUAUCCAACCUGCCGAUAACUCGGGGAUAGCCUUUCGAAAGAAAGAUUAAUACCCGAUGGCAUAAUAGAACCGCAUGGUUUGAUUAUUAAAGAAUUUCGGUUAUCGAUGGGGAUGCGUUCCAUUAGGCAGUUGGUGGGGUAACGGCCCACCAAACCUUCGAUGGAUAGGGGUUCUGAGAGGAAGGUCCCCCACAUUGGAACUGAGACACGGUCCAAACUCCUACGGGAGGCAGCAUG